rnacentral:misc_RNA from 1 species
CGGACUACCCGGGUUUCUAAUCCUGUUUGCUCCCCACGCUUUCGUACCUCAGCGUCAAGAAUGGUCCAGUUAGCCGCCUUCGCCACUGGUGUUCUUCCGAAUAUCUACGAAUUUCACCUCUACACUCGGAAUUCCACUGACCUCUCCCAUCUUCAAGCGAAGCAGUCUCAAAGGCAGUUCCACGAUUGAGUCGUGGGCUUUCACCUCUGACUUACAAAGCCGCCUACGUACGCUUUACGCCCAGUAAUUCCGAACAACGCUAGCCCCCUCCGUAUUACCGCGGCGGCUGGCACU